GAUGAACGCUGGCGGCGUGCCUAACACAUGCAAGUCGAGCGAACAGACGAGGAGCUUGCUCCCCUGACGUUAUCGGCGGACGGGUGAGUAACACGUGGAUAACCUACCUAUACGACUGGGAUAACUUCGGGAAAUCGGAUCUAAUACCGGAUAACAUGUUGAACUGCAUGGUUUAACAGUGAAAGUCGGUAUUGCUGUCACUUAUAGACGGAUCAGCGCAGCAUUAGCUAGUUGGUAAGGUAACGGAUUACCAAGGCAACGAUGCGUAGCCGACCUGAGAGGGUGAUCGGCCAGACUGGAAGUGAGACACGGUCCAGACUCCUGCGGUGGGCAGCAGUAGGGAAUCUUCCGCGAUGGGCGAGAGCCUGACGGUGCAAAGCGGCGUGAGUGAAGAAGGUCUACGGAUCGGAAAGCUCUGUUAUUAGGAGAGAAGAAAAGUGUAAGUAACUGUGCUCAUCUUGACAGUACCGAGAGAGAAAGCCACGGCUAACUACGUG
rnacentral:rRNA from 1 species